rnacentral:rRNA from 1 species
AUAAACGCUGGCGGCGUGCUUCGGGCAUGCAAGUCGAACGAGCAACCCCGGUUCGCCGGGGAAGCUAGUGGCGGACGGGUGAGUAACACGUAAGCAACCUGCCCAAAAGUGUGGAAUAACUGAUCGAAAGGUUAGCUAAUACCGCAUGUGAUGGUUCUUCCCUGGAGGAAUCAUUAAAGGAGUAAUUCGCUUUUGGAGGGGCUUGCGGCCGAUUAGCUAGUUGGUGGGGUAAUAGCCUACCAAGGCAACGAUCGGUAGCUGGUCUGAGAGGACGAACAGCCACACGGGGACUGAGAUACGGCCCCGACUCCUACGGGAGGCAGCAGCUAGGAAUCUUGGGAAUGGGCGAAAGCCUGACCCAGCAACGCCGCGUGGGCGAUGAAGGCCUUCGGGUCGUAAAGCCCUUUUGUGGGGGACGAUAAUGACGGUACCCCACGAAUAAGCCACGGCUAACUACGU